GACGAACGCUGGCGGUGUGCCUCAAACAUGCAAGUCGAGGGAGGGUUGGCGUCUGGCUUGCCAGACGUUCAACUCUACCGGCGAACGGGUGAGUAACACGUGGGCAAUCUGCCCUGAAGACGGGGACAACCUCGGGAAACCGUGGCUAAUACCCGAUACCCUCCUUGGGGGGCAUCCCCUCGGGAAGGAAAGGUACCGCAAGGUCCGCUUCAGGAGGAGCCCGCGGCCUAUCAGCUUGUUGGUGGGGUCACGGCCUACCAAGGCUAUGACGGGUAGCUGGUCUGAGAGGACGAUCAGCCACACUGGGACUGAGACACGGCUCAGACUCCUACGGGAGGCAGCAGUUGGGAAUUUUGGGCAAUGGGCGCAAGCCUGACCCAGCGACACCGCGGUGGGGAU
rnacentral:rRNA from 1 species